CGAGUGAAGCGGUAACAGCUCAAAUUUGAAAUCCGGCUCUUUUAGGGUCCGAGUUGUAAUUUGUAGAAGAUGCUUUGGGUGUGGCACCGGUCUAAGUUCCUUGGAACAGGACGUCAUAGAGGGUGAGAAUCCCGUACGUGACUGGCCGCCUUCGCCUAUGUAAAGCUCUUUCGACGAGUCGAGUUGUUUGGGAAUGCAGCUCAAAAUGGGUGGUAAAUUUCAUCUAAAGCUAAAUAUUGGCCAGAGACCGAUAGCGCACAAGUAGAGUGAUCGAAAGAUGAAAAGCACUUUGGAAAGAGAGUUAAACAGUACGUGAAAUUGUUGAAAGGGAAGCGCUUGCAACCAGACUUGCGCGUAGUUGAUCAUCCGGUGUUCUCACCGGUGCACUCGGCUGCGCUCAGGCCAGCAUCGGUUUCGGUGGUUGGAUAAAGGCCCUAGGAACGUAGCUCCUCUCGGGGAGUGUUAUAGCCUAGGGUGCAAUGCAGCCUACCGGGACCGAGGACCGCGCUUCGGCUAGGAUGCUGGCGUAAUGGUUGUAAGCGACCCGUCUUGAAACACGGACCAAGGAGUCUAACAUCUAUGCGAGUGUUUGGGUGUCAAACCCAUACGCGUAAUGAAAGUGAACGGAGGUGAGAACCCUUAAGGGUGCAUCAUCGACCGAUCCUGAUGUCUUCGGAUGGAUUUGAGUAAGAGCAUAGCUGUUGGGACCCGAAAGAUGGUGAACUAUGCGUGAAUAGGGUGAAGCCAGAGGAAACUCUGGUGGAGGCUCGCAGCGGUUCUGACGUGCAAAUCGAUCGUCAAAUUUGCGCAU
rnacentral:rRNA from 1 species